rnacentral:rRNA from 1 species
UAAUACGUAGGGUGCUAGCGUUGUUCGGAAUCAUUGGGCGUAAAGCGCGUGUAGGUGGCUGUAUAAGUCGAAUGUGAAAUCCCUGGGCUCAACCGAGGAAGUGCAUUCGAUACUGUAUAGCUCGAGGACGGUAGAGGAAGGUGGAAUUCCAAAAGUAGAGGUGAAAUUCGUAGAUAUUUGGAGGAAUACCGGCGGCGAAGGCGGCCUUCUGGGCCGUUCCUGACACUGAGACGCGAAAGCGUGGGUAGCAAACAGGAUUAGAUACCCUGGUAGUCCACGCUGUAAACGAUGAGUACUAGGUGUUGCGGGAAUUGACCCCUGCAGUGCCGUAGCUAACGCAUUAAGUACUCCGCCUGGGAAGUACGGUCGCAAGAUUA